AAAUGACAAACACAGUGGAGGGGAGCUAAACACAGGAUGUUCCCAGCAGCAUUCAUCUGGAGCAACAUAGAGGAAAUGAAGCCAAAAGGGAACACGAUGGUAUCACUCCAAGGACUGAGCUGGGUGAUAACAUCAGCAGGAUACAAGAACAUAGAAUAGUCAAUGUUUGAGCAGGCUGCUGGUGGUAGGCUUGGAGGAGGUUCUUUGGUUUGGAUGGAAGGUUUUGAAGACUCCCUGUGCUCUUCUUUUGGUGUCAGUAUGUUACCUUCUGGAGAAACACCUCCUGAUAAGAGUUUAGCAGACUAAAGGGGCAGCUCCAAAAGUAAUGCCUCCUAUUUUAUGAUGUUGGCCAGUGAUGUCAGAGGUGGAUGUUGGUGGUAUGGCAGUAGAGAUUGAACCUUCCCACCAAUAUUCUGUUACAUUUUGCUGCUGUGUGACAGAUGGUAGCAGAGGGGCAGUCUGACAAAAUGGCAUCUGACAUGGAAGCGCCUAUGAAGAAUGGUACUGAAUUCCUCCAUGCAGAAAAAAUUGGCACCCUUCAGUAUUCAUCAAUGCUUGCUGAAUGUUUCUGGUGACCAAACAGUGGAUGUGAGAUGGAACUGGGGCUGUGAACGGUGCAUUUCAGCAGUGGUGAUAGUAACAUGAAAGACAAGCCAUGUUCCAGAUGGCCAUGCUGAUUUUUACAAGCAUGACAUGCAAGCUCUUUUUCAUCACUGGUGAGAAUAAACAGCUAAUGGUUGUGAUUAUGUUGAAAAAAUAGUGUUUUUUAGCUGAGAAUUUGCUCUAUCAAACAGAGUAUUGUGUUUUCUGUAUCUGUUGUGAUUUCCAUGGAAAUAAAUAGGAGCCAUUACUUUUGGAGUCAUCCACAUAAGUUACACACUCUAAAAAGUAAAUGUCUAGAUGAUUGGGAAAGUCAAGGGGAUAGGGAUGGACUAUGAUGCCCUCCAUUCACCCAUGCCAGUUAGAUCCUACCCCUCCUGAAAAUAGCUCAGAGCUCUUAACUCAGUGAUGACUUUUCAGCCAUUGAUGUAAAAUAUGUGGGAUGAGCUCAAGGUAACUCCCACGAGAAAUACAUCACUGGAGAAAUACAUGCUCCUCUUCACUGCCUCCCUCAACACAGAUGGGCAACUCCCUGGGGCAGGGAAUCCCUACUGUAAGAUUCUUUUUCCAGCUGUGAUCUCUGUACAGGGAUUUGAUGGCUGGGUGAUCACGUUCUCAGGCUGCAUGGGGGAUGGCUGCUCACACAAAAACACGGAGAGGAGCAGCAUCCUCAGGAAAGAGGCUGACACGCAGAGCAGAAUGCAGGAAUACUGAUGGCACAGCAUGAGUGAAUUUCUAUUGUUUUCCUUCAAAUAUCUUCUAGUGUUCUAGGUAGGGAACAAAACCUGUCUUUUCAUAAUCAUUAAAGCCACAUUAUUCAUUUAAGCAUGGAAACACUGGCACAAAUGUUAAUCCUAGUAGCUCAAUAGACUCACGCAAUGUAUACAGACAAUUUCAGAUCAUUUGCAAGAAAUACUGUAUUCCCCAAGUUCCACCUUUACUGUCACAGCUGCUAUUAGAUAGUUGGAUAAAAUGCCAAUGCUGACAGUGUCGGGAGGGUUUGUACCUGUUAAAAUGUCACUCAAUAUAUGAUUUUUCUGACAAUUUGGGUGCUGCUGAAAAAAGCUAGGUUGACAAGCUUACUCCAUUUCAGCUUUCUUUUUUCUAUUGUGUACUCUCAGCUCUUUCAUGGGCUUUAUAAUAAAUAAAACCUCAAAUUUGUCCACCUAAAAGGCUUUCUUACAGUAAGGCAGUCCUAGCUCAAAUAAUCGUUUCCAAUUUCAUUGUGUUGAAAGAGCAGAAUGCGUGUGCUCACACACGUAUGUGGAUGACUAAAAUCUCAUCCAAAACACUGUGUGUUUCCUAUUGCUGUGAAGGGAGUAGUAAGAACCUUUGAAUUCCCACAAGAUCACUAAAUAAACUAAAUGCAGCCAUGUGGUGUUUUUCUUCAGUCUCUCCACCCUUGCCUGCAAAUGUGGUUUGUCCUGAGUGCUGAAAUACUUAUUUCCCUCUGCCAGUGUGGAAGAAAUAUAAAUCUCUGGAAGUUUUGGAGCUGUUUUUUUUUGUUGUUGUUGUUGUUGUUGUUUUGGGUUUUUUUUGUCAGGAAGUUGAGUACCAUCAAAAGGAAGUACCUGCCCAAACUAUGCUUGGCUACAUCUACCUCUGCCACCUCAGCCGCUUCUCCACCACCAACACUGAGGAUCUCACCUUGAGCUCUUGUUACUGAAUGAUAGCUGCUACAUUUCAUUUUUAAUGUUUCUGUGUACGUAGGUUUGUGAUUCUCUUCAACGUUUCUGUAUGCUCAGCUACCAUCUGCAGUUCCUGGUGUUCAGGAGAACAGAGCUUUGAUCUACAAGUGCUUUUUAAGGGUAAAUUUACCCUCCUCUAUUUCCAUAAAGGACAAAAGGGGUGGAGGGAGAGAAGUUAUGGGACAAAGACAAUAAAACAAAUAAACAAAAACAAAAACCCUUAUAGUCUGCCUCAACCUUCCUCAUUUUCACACAGUUUGAAAGGCCAAAGUAAAUAAACCUUGAUAGUUACUAAAAUCUUUGAAAUGUUCCUCUGAUGUCUAUUCAGAGUUGUAGAGAUGUGGAACAUUUCCUGUCACCUACAUGUAGACAGCCUUUAUUUGAGGAAAAAAGAAAAGAAGCAAUAAAAAUAAAUCUUCUGUUGGAGCGUGCCUACAACAAGGUUUGUGAUUAUAGUUUAAACGUUUGUUUCUGCUUACACAAAUAAAAGGGGAACAACAAC
rnacentral:lncRNA from 1 species